GAUGAACGCUGGCGGCGUGCCUAAUACAUGCAAGUCGAGCGAACAGACGAGGAGCUUGCUCCUCUGAUGUUAGCGGCGGACGGGUGAGUAACACGUGGAUAACCUACCUAUAAGACUGGGAUAACUUCGGGAAACCGGAGCUAAUACCGGAUAACAUUUUGAACCGCAUGGUUCAACAGUGAAAGACGGUCUUGCUGUCACUUAUAGAUGGAUCCGCGUCGCAUUAGCUAGUUGGUAAGGUAACGGCUUACCAAGGCAACGAUGCGUAGCCGACCUGAGAGGGUGAUCGGCCACACUGGAACUGAGACACGGUCCAGACUCCUACGGGAGGCAGCAGUAGGGAAUCUUCCGCAAUGGGCGAAAGCCUGACGGAGCAACGCCGCGUGAGUGAAGAAGGUCUUCGGAUCGUAAAACUCUGUUAUUAGGGAAGAACAAAUGUGUAAGUAACUAUGCACGUCUUGACGGUACCUAAUCAGAAAGCCACGGCUAACUACGUG
rnacentral:rRNA from 1 species